rnacentral:rRNA from 1 species
GCGGAGAGCAUAUCGACGGUGGAAACGCUACCCAGACGUGACGGCGGGGGAGGCGGUCGGGGUUCCGGAUAAAAUAAAGGUUGACGAGCGUUGAGCACCGCUAUCAGUAACCGGAGGAAGUUUACCAAACACUAAGACUAACCUAAAGCAUUUGAAAUUGCAAUCAGCGUCAGUAACAAAUUAAUAAUUACAACUUUCAACAACGGAUCUCUUGGUUCUGGCAUCGAUGAAGAACGCGGCGAAAUGCGAUAAGUAGUGUGAAUUGCAGAAUUCAGUGAAUCAUCGAAUCUUUGAACGCACAUUGCGCCCUUUGGUAUUCCAAAGGGCAUGCCUGUUCGAGCGUCAUUUGUACCCUCAAGCUUUGCUUGGUGUUGGGCGUCUUGUCUCUAGCUUUGCUGGAGACUCGCCUUAAAGUAAUUGGCAGCCGGCCUACUGGUUUCCGAACGACACAGGAGACGCACUCUCCAUGGGCGAAAGUCUGGCAGGCUUUAACCCUUUUUUUUAUUUUUUGACCUCGGAUCCCGCAGGGAUACCCGCGGAGACUUUGCAUAUACUUUAACGUCCAGAAAAA